rnacentral:rRNA from 1 species
UACGUAGGUGGCAAGCGUUAUCCGGAUUUACUGGGUGUAAAGGGCGCGUAGGCGGGCAUGCAAGUCAGAUGUGAAAUUUAUGGGCUUAACCCAUAACCUGCAUUUGAAACUGUGUGUCUUGAGUGAUGGAGAGGUAAGUGGAAUUCCUAGUGUAGCGGUGGAAUGCGUAGAUAUUAGGAGGAACACCAGUGGCGAAGGCGACUUACUGGACAUUAACUGACGCUGAGGCGCGAAAGCGUGGGGAGCAAAC